rnacentral:rRNA from 1 species
UACGAAGGGGGCUAGCGUUGCUCGGAAUCACUGGGCGUAAGGGCGCGUAGGCGGCCUUCUAAGUCGAACGUGAAAUCCCCGGGCUCAACCCGGGAACUGCGUCCGAUACUGGAAGGCUUGAAUCCGGGAGAGGGAUGCGGAAUUCCAGGUGUAGCGGUGAAAUGCGUAGAUAUCGGGAGGAACGACCAGUGCGAAGGGCGG